AUUGAACGCUGGCGGCAGGCUUAACACAUGCAAGUCGAACGAGUGGCGGACGGGUGAGUAAUGCUUGGGAAUCUAGCUUAUGGAGGGGGAUAACUAAGGGAAACUGUAGCUAAUACCGCGUACCAUAGGAUGAGCCCUAGGGGGUGUAGGUAGUUGGUGAGGUAAAGGCUCACAAAGCCGACGAUCCCUAGCAGGCCUGAGAGGAGGACCUGCCACACGGGGACUGAGAGACGGCCCAGACUCCUACGGUAGGCAGCAGUGGGGAAUAUUGCGCAAUGGGGGCAACCUGACGCAGCCAGGCCGCGUGAAUGAAGAAGGCCUUCGGGUUGUAAAGUUCUUUCGGUAGCGAGGCGUUAACUACAGAAGAAGCAACGGCUAACUCCGUGCCAGCAGCCGCGGUAAUUC
rnacentral:rRNA from 1 species